rnacentral:rRNA from 3 species
GCGGGACACGUGGUAUCCUGUCUGAAUAUGGGGGGACCAUCCUCCAAGGCUAAAUACUCCUGACUGACCGAUAGUGAACCAGUACCGUGAGGGAAAGGCGAAAAGAACCCCGGCGAGGGGAGUGAAAAAGAACCUGAAACCGUGUACGUACAAGCAGUGGGAGCCUCUUAAUGGGGUGACUGCGUACCUUUUGUAUAAUGGGUCAGCGACUUAUAUUCUGUAGCAAGGUUAACCGAAUAGGGGAGCCGAAGGGAAACCGAGUCUUAACUGGGCGUUAAGUUGCAGGGUAUAGACCCGAAACCCGGUGAUCUAGCCAUGGGCAGGUUGAAGGUUGGGUAACACUAACUGGAGGACCGAACCGACUAAUGUUGAAAAAUUAGCGGAUGACUUGUGGCUGGGGGUGAAAGGCCAAUCAAACCGGGAGAUAGCUGGUUCUCCCCGAAAGCUAUUUAGGUAGCGCCUCGUGAAUUCAUCUCCGGGGGUAGAGCACUGUUUCGGCAAGGGGGUCAUCCCGACUUACCAACCCGAUGCAAACUGCGAAUACCGGAGAAUGUUAUCACGGGAGACACACGGCGGGUGCUAACGUCCGUCGUGAAGAGGGAAACAACCCAGACCGCCAGCUAAGGUCCCAAAGUCAUGGUUAAGUGGGAAACGAUGUGGGAAGGCCCAGACAGCCAGGAUGUUGGCUUAGAAGCAGCCAUCAUUUAAAGAAAGCGUAAUAGCUCACUGGUCGAGUCGGCCUGCGCGGAAGAUGUAACGGGGCUAAACCAUGCACCGAAGCUGCGGCAGCGACACUAUGUGUUGUUGGGUAGGGGAGCG